rnacentral:rRNA from 1 species
AACGAACGCUGGCGGCGUGCCUAACACAUGCAAGUCGAACGAGAAAGGGGCUUCGGCUCCGAGUAAAGUGGCGCACGGGUGAGUAACACGUAGGUAACCUGCCUCCAAGAUUGGGAUAACCUGUCGAAAGACGAGCUAAUACCAAAUAAGACCACGGCUUCCUCGGAAGCAGGGGUCAAAGGUGGCCUCUAUUUAUCAGCUAUCACUUGGAGAUGGGCCUGCGUACCAUUAGCUAGUUGGUGGGGUAACGGCCUACCAAGGCAAAGAUGGUUAGCUGGUCUGAGAGGAUGAUCAGCCACACUGGAACUGAGACACGGUCCAGACUCCUACGGGAGGCAGCAGUGGGGAAUAUUGCGCAAUGGGCGAAAGCCUGACGCAGCAACGCCGCGUGAGUGAUGAAGGCCUUCGGGUCGUAAAGCUCUGUCGGAGGGAACGAAUGCUCUUGAGGUUAACAGCCUCGGGAAGUGACGGUACCCUCAAAGGAAGCACCGGCUAACUCUGUGCCAGCAGCCGCAGUAAGAC